rnacentral:misc_RNA from 1 species
AUAAACGAAAUAAAUUUUAGAAAAAUCACGCAACAAGAUAUAGGACAAAAUCUUCCACAUAUCUCUCCCUCUUUUUCUUUCUUUCAGGAGAGAAUUUCUCAAGAAACUCGAAUUAUAGCGUGUGAAGAUGAUAACAGUACAAGUUCCAUCGUACAAGAGGAGCCUGGUUACAUUUAUUCCGGCAUACUAACACCGCUAAUAACUCGAACAUCGCUCGCCAUCGCUAAGUAGCCAUGGUUUUAGUAAUUCGUGUACGUUUCGAACGGUGUCUAGCCUGAUGAUAAAAUUUCAGCUGGAGAAAAAGAAAAGAGGGGAUCGAUACGAUGAUCGUUCGAUGGAGGUUCCAGUUAUUAAAUUCAUCCUACGAAAGAUCAUCGUUCGUCCGGAGCGUACGUGGAAGCCGCUCGUUGAUCUAGGACGCACGCAGGCUAAAGAGGGAGGUUACCACCGUGGAAGGUAGAAACUCGCGGAGGUGACUGCAUCCCGGGUCAUUUCAGGUCGAAAGUUCGUCGGGCCAUACGUCUCUAUACAUAGAAGCGACUGAACAUCCUCCUCCUCCUCCUCUCUUGAUCUUUCCACCCUUUCCUCUCUUUCUCGCGCAUCCUGUCCCGUGGACUGACAGCUGAAGCCAGGAGUGACUGAAAUAUUCAUCGGCACAAGGCGAACGAGGCGCGACUGAACGUCGAUCUGUCAACCUCUUUGACUAUAUAAAUAUGGACUGCCAUCGAGAUUCCGCGCGUUAUAUAGAUUUACAGUAGAAAGAUAGAAAAUGUUUUAAACAUUUUUCGAUCCGCCGAUGGGCGUUUAACGGAUUAAUUUAAUGCCAGUAG